UACAGAGGUCUCAAGCGUUGUUCGGAUUCAUUGGGCGUAAAGGGUGCGUAGGCGGCGCGGUAAGUCGGGUGUGAAAUCUCGGGGCUUAACUCCGAAACUGCAUUCGAUACUGCCGUGCUUGAGGACUGGAGAGGAGACUGGAAUUCAUGGUGUAGCAGUGAAAUGCGUAGAGAUCAUAAGGAAGACCAGUGGCGAAGGCGGGUCUCUGGACAGUUCCUGACACUGAGACACGAAGGCCAGGGGAGCAAACGGG
rnacentral:rRNA from 1 species